AACGAACGCUGGCGGCAGGCUUAACACAUGCAAGUCGAACGGUUGCAGCAAUGCAGUAGUGGCAGACGGGUGAGUAACACGUGGGAACCUUCCUAGGGGUACGGAACAACUCAGGGAAACUUGAGCUAAUACCGUAUACGUCCGUGAGGAGAAAGAUUUAUCGCCCUUAGACGGGCCCGCGUCGGAUUAGCUAGUUGGUGGGGUAACGGCCUACCAAGGCGACGAUCCGUAGCUGAUCUUAGAGGAUGAUCAGCCACACUGGGACUGAGACACGGCCCAGACUCCUACGGGAGGAAGCAGUGGGGAAUCUUGGACAAUGGGCGCAAGCCUGAUCCAGCCAUGCCGCGUGAGUGAAGAAGGUCUUCGGAUUGUAAAGCUCUUUUGCCAGGGACGAUAAUGACGGUACCUGGAGAAUAAGCCCCGGCAAACUUCGUGCCAGCAGCCGCAGUAACAC
rnacentral:rRNA from 1 species